rnacentral:sRNA from 1 species
UGUAACCUUUAAAAAGGUGGUGCAGUAUUCUAGUCGGGUAAGUAUCUUUUGAAGGCGGGGCUAAAAAUCCGUCAAAGGGCAUAUCGAUGAAGUUCCUUGUGCUGGCUUAUGACGCCCAGUCAUGGGUUGGUGCUGGGAGUAAGGAGGAUGGGGCAGCCGCAACGGCAUGCGGGAACUGACCCUACCUUCGCGGAGACCAUUUAUUGUAUAAAAGGUUAGAUACCUUUUAUACGAAAAUGGAUUAAACCUGCAAUGUGGUGAAGAGCUAUGUGCAGUGUAGCCUGCCUUGAGUGGUUUAGGGGGAAAGCAGUAACACCAUUUAAUUUUGGCCAAAAUUAAAGGAAUCUGUUUGCUGAAACCUAAGCUGCAAAAGAGGCUAGGGAGAUACCUAACUGUUGGGGAAAACUCCUAGACUGUUCUACUUGAAAUAUGCUGAGGAUUGCAGUGCGGACUAAGUGGCAAUCCAGUCCUGCUUUUGGCAACAAAGCAGAUAGGGAAUUAAAGGGAAACCGCCAAAAUGGCGACAUUUAGGUUGACCUAUGGGAAAUCCUACUGGACCUAAGCCGCAAGGUUUACUCAGUUUAUUACCACCUUUUUAUAUACAUAU